UACGAAGGGGGCUAGCGUUGCUCGGAAUCACUGGGCGUAAAGCGCACGUAGGCGGAUUGCUAAGUCAGGGGUGAAAUCCUGGAGCUCAACUCCAGAACUGCCCUUGAUACUGGCGGUCUCGAGUCCGGGAGAGGUGAGUGGAACUGCGAGUGUAGAGGUGAAAUUCGUAGAUAUUCGCAAGAACACCAGUGGCGAAGGCGGACUCACUGGCCCGGUACUGACGCUGAGGUGCGGAAAGCGUGGG
rnacentral:rRNA from 1 species